AGAUGGUAUCAAACUGAGUGACUUUGAACUCAAAGGGCAUCUCUAGAAAAGUUCCUCCAGGUACCAGAGAACCACAUUCAUCACCUCCAGUCAGUUGCCAUCCGUCUUGAAAUCUCCAGGUGAUGAGCAUCAGAGAGUUUUAAAAUGGAAUGAAGUUAAAAGUAAAUGAAUUCACUGUUUGGAAGGGCUGCAGCUGUUCCCCAGGACCCUGAUCUCGCAGGACUGAUGGAGCAGUCUAGUCCUGAUCUGACUAGGAGAUGACAACUUGGUUCUUUGUAGUGAGAGGACAUCCCAUCCUGCAUCUACAGCAUAGUUCCUUCACCUAUCCUCCAUUGUUGCAUACCUGGCCUGGCUCCACACUUAGCUGCUGUGAACAGCCUUAAACACUGCUGUGCAAGUAUC